rnacentral:rRNA from 1 species
CAGUCGCCGCGGUAAUACGUAGGGUGCGAGCGUUAAUCGGAAUUACUGGGCGUAAAGCGUGCGCAGGCGGUUAUAUAAGACAGAUGUGAAAUCCCCGGGCUCAACCUGGGACCUGCAUUUGUGACUGUAUAGCUAGAGUACGGUAGAGGGGGAUGGAAUUCCGCGUGUAGCAGUGAAAUGCGUAGAUAUGCGGAGGAACACCGAUGGCGAAGGCAAUCCCCUGGACCUGUACUGACGCUCAUGCACGAAAGCGUGGGGAGCAAGCAGGAUUAGAUACCCCCGUAGUCCCUGUCUCUUAUAC